AUGGCCUUGCAUGAGACUUUGCAUGGCAUGAUGUCACAUAAGGAUGUGAGGGACGAGAAGAAGCGGCAAAGCAAGGACGAGCAAAUGAAGCAAUACCUAGACCUUCAAAGACAGAAGCUUGAGAUGGAGGAGGCGGCCAAGAAGAGGAAGAUAGACAUGGAGGAGGUGGCCCGGCAAAGGCAGCUCGACAUGGAAGAGGCCGCCCGGCAAAGGCAGCUCGACAUCGAGGCCGACAACGUCAAGGCCAGGCAGAGGCAGCUCGACAUCGAGGCCACCAAUGCCGCCACCAAAGCGAAGGAGGUGGCCUUUGCGAUCAUGAGCGUGGACUUGUUGAAGAUGAGCGACAAGAUGAGGGCCUGGUUCGAGGCCAGGCAGAAGGAGAUGCUCGACACCGAAGGCCUGAACUAG
rnacentral:rRNA from 1 species